GACCUCUAGCACCUCUGCAUGAGUCUUCUGGUAAGUCUACCUCUCCUGCUCCUUUUGUACAGCAACUUGCUUCUUCUAUUCCUCUACCAACCCCUCUAUACACCCCAUCUGAAACCCCUCCUUCAAUGACUAGAACAUCUCAACCACUCCCAAAAUUCAAUCUCAUCACUACCUCAUUACCCAUAUCUGAAGCUGAACAAAUGAAUGAAACCACCUCCUCAUCCUCAGAC
rnacentral:lncRNA from 1 species